GAUGAACGCUAGCUACAGGCUUAACACAUGCAAGUCGAGGGACCGGCGCACGGGUGAGUAACACGUAUCCAACCUGCCCUUUACUCGGGGAUAGCCUUUCGAAAGAAAGAUUAAUACCCGAUAUAAAGGAUGGGGAUGCGUUCCAUUAGGUUGUUGGUAAGGUAACGGCUCACCAAGCCUUCACUGGAUAGGGGUGAGGAGAGGCAGCUCCCCCGCAUUGGAACUGCGACACGGUCCACACUCCUACGGGAGGCAGCAGUGAGGAAUAUUGGUCAAUGGGCGGUAGCCUGAACCAGCCACGUAGCGUGAAGGAUGAAGGCUUAUGGGUCGUAAACUUCUUUUAUAUAAGAAUAUGUAUUAUAUGAAUAAGGAUCGGCUAACUCCGUGCCAGCCGCCGCGGUAAUAC
rnacentral:rRNA from 1 species